UUUUUAUACGACCGCAAAAAAAUUUUUGUGGUCGUAUAUUGGUAUGACGUUGGCGUCGUUGUCGUCGUCCGGCGUCGUCGUCGUCGUCCGAAGACGCAUUAGUUUUCGCACUCUAACUUUAGUUUAAGAGAAUGGAUCUCUAUGAAAUUUUACCAUAAGGUUCAAUACCACAAAAGGAAGGUUGGGAUUGAUUUUGGGGGUUAUGGUACCAACAGUAAAGGAAUUAGGGGCCAAAAAGGGGCCAAAAAUAAGCAUUUUUGUAACUUCCAGACAUAACUUGUGUGUUAGUUUAUGGAUCUCUCCGACAUUGUACCACAAGGUUCCAUAUCACAAAAGGAAUGCUGGGAUUGAUUUUGGGGGUAAUUGCCUCAAAAUUUUAGGAAUUAGGGGCCAAAAAAGGGGCAAAAAACAAGCAUUUUUCUAGUUUCAUGACAAUAACUUGUGUGUAAGUGUAUGGAUCUUUCUGAAAUUGUACUACAAGGUUCCAUAUCACAAAGGGAAAUCUGGAAUUGAGUUUGGGGGUAAUUGCCGAAACGUUUAGGAAUUGGGGGCCAAAAAGGGGCCAAAAAUAAGCAUUUUUCUAGUUUCCAGACAAUAACUUGUGUUCAAGUGUAUGGAUCUCUCUGAAAUUGUACUGCAAGG